ACUUAAGAUAAAAGUUUUUAAUCAACGUCGAACAGAACAAAAGUUAGCUCACGUUUCAAUACAUUAUUCGAACUCCAUUGCAAACAUGUUUGCGCAAGCGCAUACAGAUUCCAGUAAUCAAUCGUCGUAUCAAUUGUGCGGUUCCUGUAUAAAGCCGUUAAUAAACGAAGAAAAUCUCAAAAUACUUCGCUAUAAAUGGAUUAAAUGGGGAGUGGUAGGUGUUUCCGUGUCUGCUGGUUGUGGGGUGAUAGGAGCGAGUGUGUUGCCUCUUUUGGGAUUCAAAUUCGGAGGAGUAACUGCAGGCAGUUUUGCUGCAAGUUGGCAGGGACCCGCCGUGGCCGCUGGAUCAGUGUUUGCUCUAUGCCAAUCAUUGGGUGCUACUGGCCUUGGAAUGUUAUUAUUCGGUGCAGCUGGAUCAGCUACAGGUGGAGUUGGUGCUCUUGGAGUCAUCUACAAAUAUCGGAAACAAUUUGAUUGGUGCCGCUGCAAAUCAUAGUUACAAUGACAUAUUCCAACAGCAUUCAGUGGCGGAUUUGCAGUCUUGGCUGCGCUAGGCCCCAGGCCCUGUAGUAAAUACUAACCGUCCCUUUCUCAGCACUCAUAUAGGCUGCCGCCCUUAAUGGCUUGCUGCUCUAGGCCCCCGGCUACUGGGCCUUACAGCUAAUCCACCACUGUCAGUAUUCUGAGUAUGUUGGCACACAGAAUUGAUUGCCUGUCUUUGAAUAACUGCUGUGCUGUUUGAUACACAUAAACAGUAGUUAAUAAAUAAAUGUACAGUUAUAGUAAUUAAGUAUGUAUAGUUCUAACACUUGGAUAAGAUUAUUUAUGUUACUAACACCACACUAACACAAUGAUCCUCAAUGGGCUUAGAAAAACAAAUUAUUUAUUUGUCGGUCCGGGUUAUUCCCACUGGUUACCACAAAGUUGUUACCAGUGGUAACUAUUGGGAGUUUUUUUCCCACCAUUUACCACUAGUGGGAAAAAAAUUUUUUGACAACCAGAGUUACCGCAAAACGCAUAAUUCGAAGCACGAAAUUGUCUUCGAUUUUACGCAUCAAUCUAUAAGGUAAGUAUGUAUCUUUGAUAUAAGAAAUAAUUAUAUAAUAUAUGAAAUUUCAAUUUCAGUAGGUAGAAAAAUGUAUUUCAAAAAUAAUUAUGAAAUUGAAAAUGUUAUAAAUGUAUAAGUAAUGAUUAAAAACUUGAUACGUUUUUAUAUUAAUAUUUUUAAGGGGCUCCCCGUGGUUUUCAUAGAUUUUUGACAAAUCGUUACUCCUCGGUACUUAAAUGUUGUACCCAAGGGCAUACGAAAUUAAGUUUGAUUGCGAAUAGCAAUUAGCAUGCAUCAUGCAUUAAAUUAAGAUUUACAAGCAGAGCAUAUCAUCAAACAAGCAAUAAAUUAAAAUGUCUAGUAUACCACUUAAGGAACUCCCUAGCGCCAAUGACCUGCGAUCUGAAUCCCUUAGUUUUCUAAUGUUUUUUUUUUCGUAUCUUAUCAUAUUAACAGGAACUGUUUUAAGCUACUGUUCCAUAUUUACUUCAAAGUUCAUUGUCUUUGAAAUAUUUGGCAAAGUUGAACAGUUUUAGGCCAAAAAACCGCGGGGAGCCCCUUGAAAAUAUUAAUAUAAAAAUAUUAACAAGUUUUUAAUCAUUAUACAUUUAUAUCAUUUUCAAUUUCAUAAUUAUUUUUGAAAUACUUACAUUUUUCUACCUACUGAAAUUGUAAACUACUGCUUCUAUGGAUAUUGUAAUGUUAAUUUCUUUAUUUAAUUUGCCCAAAACACCAAUAGACCGUAAAACUGAAUACUACUUUCAUAUAUUACAGUGGAUAUCAUUUAUUACGACCUUGGUUGUAGCGACCAUUUACCUAUAGCGACGUUAAAUCUAAGUCCCUUGAAUUUAAAGCAUACUUUAGUACAAAGUUCAUGUGGCUAUAGCGACUUUGGAUGUAACGCCGAGUUCGGGUGUAGCGACUGUUUUUAAUGAAUCAUUUGUAACAAAUUCCUAGAAAUCCCAUGCAGAUAUUGCGACCGGAGUCCAAAGACACAAAGAUUUUUUUCUUUCACAAACAUUUCUUAUCUUUUGUUUACAUCCAUUGCACACAGAUGGUCAGCAAGUGUGGAGACCUUUACCUUUUGUUUAUAGAUAUUAACUAAGUAGGUAGGGAAGCGUGUACGUUUCGGAGCUUUUAUGGUUCAGUUACAAAGUGAUAUUCUGAGUAGCAACUGGGUUUAGUAAACUUUUGAAUAAGUAUGGCUAAUCCUACAACUAAGGAUGUGUUAGGUGUUGUAACAAAGCUUAAAAGAUACUGUUUAUUUGGUGAUGGAAAGGAUAUUAUAGAUAUUGAAGAAGUAAUGAAAAUAGAAUACACCCUACAGCGUACACUAGCACAAAAAAAUAAAUUGAAGCAAACUAAUAUUACACAUUUUUUUAAAUGUACCGGUGAAUAACUAUGUGUGCAAAUAUUUUCAAUAAUAAAUGAAUAUAAACUACA